GCUUACGGCCAUACCACCCUGUCUGCACCCGAUCUCGUCUGAUCUUGGCAGCUGAGCAGGGUCGGGCCUGGUUAGUUCUUGGAUGGGAGACUACCUGGGAAUACCAGGUUCUGUAAGCU
rnacentral:rRNA from 1 species